rnacentral:rRNA from 1 species
ACGAAGGAUUCGAGCGUUGUCCGGAUUUACUGGGUUUAAAGGGUGCGUAGGCGGAAUAAUAAGUCAGUGGUGAAAGCCCGCAGCUCAACUGCGGAACUGCCAUUGAAACUGUUAUUCUUGAAUAUGGUUGAGGUAGAUGGAAUGUAACAUGUAGCGGUGAAAUGCUUAGAUAUGUUACGGAACUCCGAUUGCGAAGGCAGUCUGCUAAGCCAUCAUUGACGCUGAUGCACGAAAGCGUGGGGAGCGAACAGG